CACUGCUCAAACCUCUAGGGGAGCAUGCGGACGGCUGGGUUGUGGGGCUCCAACCCAAGAGCAGUGUCUAGGGGUGAAUGUUUACAGCUGAAGCCCCAGUGGGCACACGUGUGUUACAGGGUGCUCUUUUAGUUUUGCCAUCUGUAGGCGACUUGUGUUAGUCAGCUCAAUUAGACCCCCUGGCUUAUCUCAAGGACAGAGGACUUUCUGUAUCCCAGGGUCCUUGCCUUGGUGUACCGGAAGAAUCAGAUCACACGUGGGCUUGGAGAAUGAGUUCAAGGUUUUAUUGAGAGGAAGUAGCUGUGAGCAGACAGGGGAGACAGAAGGGAGAUGGAGUGGGAAGGUGUAGUUUCCUGGAGUCAGGCCACCUAGCGGCCUGGCUCUCCUCCAACCACGCAGCCAAACUCCAUGUCCUUCCGCCAGUCGAUGGCCUGCCAGGGUCUGCCUGUCGGCGUGCUCUUGUUGACGUCCUCUGGACGUCCAGCCGCUUGUGUUCAUUAGUGGAUUAGGAGAGAUUUGAAACCGAGCCCAGUGGAGUCAGCAGAGACAAGUUCCAAACGGCCA
rnacentral:lncRNA from 10 species